UUCUUAGUUAACAGGGAACGAGCUGUUGACUAAGAAAGUAUGUUCGUCCAUCUCAAUGUUGGGGGAGCCCUUUCCCCACCAAAGUUCAUCUUCAGUGGUUUUGUCUUUGACAACUCGUUUGUCUCUUGGCGACCUUCCUGUCUUUGCCCCAGAAAGCGUGGCUAAAGCACCAGUUGAUGUUAUAAAUGAACCCUUCUCGUACUUGAUUGCUUGCUCGUACAGCUCAGCAGGCGAGAGAUUGUAGAGGACGUGGGUGAACUUGAGGGCACUAUCACUAAGGCUGAUAGCUGGAGUAAAAUAGUCAGGAUGUGCAACGUGCGUCAGCUUCUGUCCCUCUGUCUUCCUCGCUGGGUCUCCUUUCACCAGCUUCGGCCCUGUCUCUCUCGUCACAGAAGCCAACGACGCACUGAUGGAUUGGAGUUGCUGUUUCUGGCGCUCCUCUUCAGUCUUGGGGGAGAAAGGAGUGCCUGGAUGAAUAGGUGUGGAGGGUGCUGAUUUCUUCUUUUGAAGAGCAUGGAGUUCAUCGAUUGUCUGAGCUUUCACCGUCGGUCCACUAUCAUCAUGACAGACAUCGUUUCUGGGUUUCUGGGUCUGAAUUUUCGGCAGCCCGUUGCGUCCGCUGCUUUUGCUUUUGAAGCUAAACUCUCCGUUCUCUGCCAUCGUAAUUUUAUCUGCAAUUAAUAUGAUCACAAACUCAAUUCACCAAGUCUUCUCCUUCUUCUAGUUCGUGUUUUAUAUGUUCAGGGCAAGGAAAGAGCAGAACGAAGGAGGUGAGCUCAGAGUAAGGAUAAGGAUAGAAGACGAAUCUGGAAAGAAUUCAGGAAAAUAAGG
rnacentral:misc_RNA from 1 species